GUAGUCCACGCCCUAAACGAUGCACAUUGGACCGGUGCGGCUCUGACGUCGUAUUGGUCGUAGAGAAAUUGCUAAAUGUGCCGCCUGGGGAGUACGGUCGCAAGGCUAAAACUCAAAGGAAUUGACGGGGGCUCACACAAGCGGUGGAGCAUGUUGCUUAAUUCGAAGCAACGCGAAGAACCUUACCCGGGUUUGACAUGCACGGAUUAGUCUCUGGAAACAGAGAUAAGGCCCGCAAGGGUACAACGUGCACAGGUGCUGCAUGGCUGUCGUCAGCUCGUGCUGUGAAGUGUCGGGUUAAGUCCCUUAACGAGCGCAACCCUUGUCGCUAGUUGCUAACACGUAAUGGUGAGGACUCUAGCGAGACUGCCGGUGUCAAACCGGA
rnacentral:rRNA from 1 species